rnacentral:rRNA from 1 species
CAGUCGCGUUUGCCGGGACUCAGCCUUGCUUCUGCUUGGUGUACUUUCUGGUUUGAUGGGCCAACAUCAAUUUUGACCGUUGGAGAAAGGCUUUGGGAAUGUGGCACCUUAGGGUGUGUUAUAGCCCUUUGUUGUAUACACUGGUUGGGAUUGAGGUUUCAGUGCACGCUUCGGUUGUGCUUUGAUGCUGGCGUAAUGGCUUUAAGCGACCCGUCUUGAAACACGGACCAAGGAGUCUAAACAUAUGUGCGAGUGUU